rnacentral:rRNA from 1 species
UACGGAGGGGGCUAGCGUUGUUCGGAAUUACUGGGCGUAAAGCGCACGUAGGCGGCUUUGUAAGUUAGAGGUGAAAGCCCAGGGCUUAACCCUGGAAUUGCCUUUAAGACUGCAUCGCUAGAAUCGUGGAGAGGUGAGUGGAAUUCCGAGUGUAGAGGUGAAAUUCGUAGAGAUGUGGAGGAACACCAGUGGCGAAGGCGACUCUUUGGCCUGUAACUGACGCUGAGGCGCGAAAGCGUGGGGAGCAAACAGG